rnacentral:rRNA from 1 species
AUUGAACGCUGGCGGCAUGCCUUACACAUGCAAGUCGAACGGUAACAGGUCUUCGGAUGCUGACGAGUGGCGAACGGGUGAGUAAUACAUCGGAACGUGCCCGAUCGUGGGGGAUAACGAGGCGAAAGCUUUGCUAAUACCGCAUACGAUCUACGGAUGAAAGUGGGGGAUCUUCGGACCUCGCGCGGACGGAGCGGCCGAUGGCAGAUUAGGUAGUUGGUGGGAUAAAAGCUUACCAAGCCGACGAUCUGUAGCUGGUCUGAGAGGAUGAUCAGCCACACUGGGACUGAGACACGGCCCAGACUCCUACGGGAGGCAGCAGUGGGGAAUUUUGGACAAAGGGCGAAAGCCUGAUCCAGCCAUGCCGCGUGCAGGAUGAAGGCCUUUGGGUUGUAAACUGCUUUUGUACGGAACGAAAAGCCUCUUUCUAAUAAAGAGGGGUCAUGACGGUACCGUAAGAAUAAGCACCGGCUAACUACGUG